GGGUCAGUAGGUUGGUCGUGCCACCGGUACGUACUGGUCUCACUGAUUCCUCCUUCCCGAAGAACCGUAAUGCCAUUAAUUUGGUGUUGCGGGGAAACAGGACUGUUACUUUGAAAAAAUUAGAGUGUUUAAAGCAAGCUAACGCUUGAAUACAUUAGCAUGGAAUAAUGAAAUAGGACGAUCGAUCCUAUUUUGUUGGUUUCUGGGAUUGACGUA
rnacentral:rRNA from 1 species